rnacentral:lncRNA from 1 species
CUGCAUGCAACAUCACCAAUUAGAACCUCAGUAUCAUAGAAAGCCACAAAAGGAGUAAUCCUACUACCAUGAUCAUUGGCAAAUAUUUCGACGUGGUUACCUUACCAAACUCAAUACAUGAAUACAUGGUUCCCAGAUCAAUUCAAAUUGCAGGUCCUCAUUUUCCAGCCAUAACAUCACCAAUUAGAACCUCAGUAUCAUAGAAAGCCACAGAAUAAGGAGUAACCCUCCUACCAUGAUCAUUGGCAAUGAUUUCGACAUGGUUACCUUGCUAAACUCCAAUACAUGAGCAAUUGCAGGUCCUCAUUUUCCGGCCAUUCCGUAAAAUCAAGCAUAAUAGUGCAAAUGGAAACUCACAUAAAAAUAAAGAGUUUCUCUGCCAGAGUGAGUAAUUUGCAGAAAGGAAAAAAUCUGAAGUAAAAGCAUUCUUUUUCUCUGUCCCUUUCUUGUUCACUUUUAGCUUCUGCUCUGUACAUCAGCUUCUUUUACCAUCUUUUACAAGCUCUUCGUUUAACAACCUCUCCUCGUUAUAGGUUGUACUUCUAAUCUUAUCUUUUGUCCCACACAAGCCUUUUAUUCUCUCCUAUAAACUGCUCUGCAAAUCUCGAAUCCAAUCUUUUCAUAAAUAUCUGGAACCAAAACCAAACCCUAGAAUCAACUAAAAUAAAUUAUAAUAUCUUGAACCAAAAUAAAUCUUGGAAUCAACCAAAAUAGGCACCCAAAUAAAUCAACAAACAAAGAAGAUAUAACUGAUCAACAUGGGCGGAACCGAGGAUUAACGGAGAUAUAAAUGGAUAAUAAAAUGGCACAAGCAGGCCAUAUCAAGACCUAUAACUCAGAUAAAAUUCAUUUGAAUUAUUGAUUAGACCUUCAUCUACCGGAAGUCCUAUAUAAAAAGGAAAAGAGUCUUUGACUUUUAUAUGACNUAAAAUGCGGUUAAAACCACACCGCACCGCAUUUAAUAUAUUAUAUAAAAAAAUAUUUAUAAAUAUUAUAUUAUAUGCGUUAAUAUGCUAUAUUAUAAUUUUAUUAUGCAUCCAUCUAAGCAGUUUUAUUUUUAUAUGAAGCCCAUCAAAUCUGGGCAGCGUUAUAAAAACAGAAGUGUCCUACAUAUGCAGCAGGGAAGCAAGCACCAGUAGUCUGGUCUGUUCUUGUAAAUUACUCGGUGUUUACAAAUUUGUCAGAACUAGCUUUAUAGCCCGUGCAAGGCACGGGCAAGCUCUAAAUUAAUAUAUUAUAAAUAUUUAUAAUGGGUGGGAAAAGUUGGAGUGCUAGAAAGGUCGUAAAUAAUAAACACCCAUGAUGAAUGUAGAAUUUGAAAAGGUCUUGUAAGUAUGAAUCAAAAGAGGUCAUGGAGUGUCAUUCAAAAAGAACGGUAUUUUUGUUACUUGAUAAAGAUCUUAAAACGAUAAACAAAAAAUAAAUAGAUACUUCAAAAUAGAAUUUCCAGGAUUUACGAGGAAUGAGUUGUAGAGAUAUAAAUUACACAUGUGCCAAUAUUUGUAUCUCAAAAUCAAGUUGGUUAGGUUAGAACAAAGGAAGCCAAAGUAGAUUUAGAAACAUGAAGUACGAACACCAACAAUAUUGCUGCUCCACAGUCUCGCAUUAAAAUUAAGUGCCAACAAAGCAAGUGAGGAGGGAAAACUCAAGCUUCAGAAUAUAUCAAACCAAAUACCCACAAUGCAUCUAAAUUAUGGGAAAAGAUCAUGGGACAAAGGGUAAGAUGUAAACAUCCCUACCUCUAACUCUAAAAGGGUAGCACAGUUGUAUGUGUAGAGACCACGGUGACUUGAAUAAAACAAAAUCUGUUAAAUAGCACCAAAUAGUAAAAACAGUAGCAGCAUAUAGAAUAACUGAACAACUGCGAUUAUCAACUCAGCUAGAGCUAAGAAGUCCAGAAGUCACUUGUAUCAAUUGGAAGAGAUAAACACCUGACUCCUGAGCAUAUGGAUUAACAAAAGAUCACUGUUGACUACUGAACUCUCCAUACUCCUCAGAUGUAGGACUGGGGAGUUACAAACUUGCCCACUUAAAUUCCUAACAUCCCCAUGUCAAAUCCCGAGUCACAGUCCUCGAUAUGGGACUGAAGUGUUACAUAUACUUCUCAUCUACUGAAUGUACUCUCAAAGAUGUUGGAAAUCAGUUAAAUAACAACAUUGUUCUGACUUCACUUUAGGUGGCGACACGAAAUCCAUGAAUGAACUGAAAAUUGAAGUAGCCUCAACUGACAAACUAAAAUAAGCUUAAACAUAGAAAUUCUUUUCAAAAUCCAGCCACCAUUUACAGCGGACCUCGAUGUCUGUUAUAAAACAGCUUGAUCAUUAAUAUUUUCUCAUAACUCAUAUGUAAACACGUGGUAUAAUAAUGUCAACAGAGCUUUUAAGGUAUAUUAACAAAGUUGGUCCAGGAGUCUCGGUGCUAACAACACAGCAAUUAUUCAAGGGCUAAUAUGCACAGGACAGGCAACCGAGUUGAUCAAGUUAUAUCCAGCUUGUUGUUGAAAGCAAAAAUUACUGCUCCAGCAUGUUCAGUUGCAUUCCUGACAAUUGGCAAUAGAAUGAUGAUGAUGAAGCUUACAGAUAAUCCCCAGGAGGCUGAUGCUUCCUGUAAAAUUCUUAUAUCACUCAAAUUUAUACCAAUAGAAUAGAAAAAUUAUAUGAUUUCAUUAGAUUAAUCAAAUUCUAUUCAGAUAAUAAUGAAGGGAAUAAGUAGGCACAAUGUUUAAUUACCUCAGUAGUGCCAACAACAUACUCAGAUAACACUGAUAUAACAACAGUCAUAACAGCCAGCCAGAUAAAUCCACUCCAGAAUCCUGUAACAGGUGUUUCAUCUGAAACUAAAUCAUCUUCUUCUUCAUAGACAGCAUGACAAAAAAGAAAUUCCAAAAACCAUCUUAACUAUAUAUAUUAAAUUCAAAUAACACGAGUUGCAUCUUCUUCUCCACACAUAAAAGUAAAGAAAAAUGUACCUAUUGGGCUUCAAAAACUUCGUGAUGAGUCCACAACUGGGAAAAAAGGCCCUGGCUGCAUGCAACAUCACCAAUUAGAACCUCAGUAUCAUAGAAAGCCACAAAAGGAGUAAUCCUACUACCAUGAUCAUUGGCAAAUAUUUCGACGUGGUUACCUUACCAAACUCAAUACAUGAAUACAUGGUUCCCAGAUCAAUUCAAAUUGCAGGUCCUCAUUUUCCAGCCAUAACAUCACCAAUUAGAACCUCAGUAUCAUAGAAAGCCACAGAAUAAGGAGUAACCCUCCUACCAUGAUCAUUGGCAAUGAUUUCGACAUGGUUACCUUGCUAAACUCCAAUACAUGAGCAAUUGCAGGUCCUCAUUUUCCGGCCAUUCCGUAAAAUCAAGCAUAAUAGUGCAAAUGGAAACUCACAUAAAAAUAAAGAGUUUCUCUGCCAGAGUGAGUAAUUUGCAGAAAGGAAAAAAUCUGAAGUAAAAGCAUUCUUUUUCUCUGUCCCUUUCUUGUUCACUUUUAGCUUCUGCUCUGUACAUCAGCUUCUUUUACCAUCUUUUACAAGCUCUUCGUUUAACAACCUCUCCUCGUUAUAGGUUGUACUUCUAAUCUUAUCUUUUGUCCCACACAAGCCUUUUAUUCUCUCCUAUAAACUGCUCUGCAAAUCUCGAAUCCAAUCUUUUCAUAAAUAUCUGGAACCAAAACCAAACCCUAGAAUCAACUAAAAUAAAUUAUAAUAUCUUGAACCAAAAUAAAUCUUGGAAUCAACCAAAAUAGGCACCCAAAUAAAUCAACAAACAAAGAAGAUAUAACUGAUCAACAUGGGCGGAACCGAUGAUUAACGGAGAUAUAAAUGGAUAAUAAAAUGGCACAAGCAGGCCAUAUCAAGACCUAUAACUCAGAUAAAAUUCAUUUGAAUUAUUGAUUAGACCUUCAUCUACCGGAAGUCCUAUAUAAAAAGGAAAAGAGUCUUUGACUUUUAUAUGACGUGAUCAUGUGACCAAUUAAAUUUUGUAAGCUUUAAAUAACUACAGGAGAAUGACAUUUCCAUCUUAACUUAAAUUAAAGUAACAGCAUUUCCAAGAUCAAUUUCAGUUUCAACUAAAUUACCAUAUAUUUUGUUUGCCAAACUAUGCAGAGUAAGGUCCUCAUUUUCCGGCCAUUCCGUAAAAUCAAGCAUAAUAGUGCAAAUGGAAACUCACAUAAAAAUAAAGAGUUUCUCUGUCAGAGUGAGUAAUUUGCAGAAAGGAAAAAAUCUGAAGUAAA